AGAGUUUAAUCCUGGCUCAGGAUGAACGCUAGCGGCAGGCUUAACACAUGCAAGUCGAGGGGGCAGCGGGGUGUAGCAAUACACUGCCGGCGACCGGCGCACGGGUGCGUAACGCGUAUGCAACCUACCCAUAACAGGGGCAUAACACUGAGAAAUUGGUACUAAUUCCCCAUAACAUUCGAAGAGGCAUCUCUUUGGGUUGAAAACUCCGGUGGUUAUGGAUGGGCAUGCGUUGUAUUAGCUAGUUGGUGGGGUAACGG
rnacentral:rRNA from 1 species